ACAUAUGUAAUGUUCCCCGGAAGACUUGAAAAUUUCAAAUUUAUCCUAAAGUGUGCAAUUUCGUACAGGAGUAUCGUAAAGCUAAAGGAGCUAUCACAGAAAACCAUGUUUCAAUCUAUGAUCAUCUGGAUGAAAUAUUCAUUAGUACCUACAUAUUAGACGGUACACACUAAUUGUUAUGGUGAAAAUGAUAGCAAUUAUAGUUUGU